rnacentral:misc_RNA from 1 species
GCAAACUUGGUCAUUUAGAGGAAGUAAAAGUCGUAACAAGGUUUCCGUAGGUGAACCUGCGGAAGGAUCAUUAGUGAACAAACCGGUGUGGUUGUUGCUGGCCUCCUCGGAGGCAUGUGCACGCCUGCCAUUGUUUCAUCCUUCUCUUCCACCUGUGCACUUCUGUAGGCCAGCCAGUCGAGCCCUUCGGGUUGACUAUCAACUCGGUGUGAGGUCGGUUCGCCACCGUCCUUGGACUGGCAGACAUGGUCCUACGUCUCUCAUCCACACCAAUGAAUGUGUAGAAUGUAUGUAACGGGCUCUAUUGCCCAUAAAACCUAUACAACUUUCAACAACGGAUCUCUUGGCUCUCGCAUCGAUGAAGAACGCAGC